rnacentral:rRNA from 1 species
GGAAUAUUGGUCAAUGGAGGGAACUCUGAACCAGCCAUGCCGCGUGCAGGAUGACUGCCCUAUGGGUUGUAAACUGCUUUUGUCAGGGAAUAAACCUUUCUACGUGUAGGAAGCUGAAUGUACCUGAAGAAUAAGGAUCGGCUAACUCCGUGCCAGCAGCCGCGGUAAUACGGAGGAUCCAAGCGUUAUCCGGAUUUAUUGGGUUUAAAGGGUGCGUAGGCGGUCCUAUAAGUCAGUGGUGAAAGACGGCAGCUUAACUGUCGCAGUGCCUUUGAUACUGUAGGACUUGAAUCUAUUUGAAGUGGGCGGAAUAAGACAAGUAGCGGUGAAAUGCAUAGAUAUGUCUUAGAACUCCGAUUGCGAAGGCAGCUCACUAAGUUAGUAUUGACGCUGAUGCACGAAAGCGUGGGGAUCAAACAGGAUUAGAUACCCUUG